UGAGCAUAUAGUUAGUUGCCUUACUGUAAUUUUGGAAAAUCCACUCACUUAAAUAUCCCAUUGCUGAACAUGCAGACUGCAUACAAAGCAAGAGUCUAGCAGGAAAAAAAAAAAAAAAUUGUCACCAUGUGACAAUUCGACCUUGCCCUCAAGGAUUGCAUCUGGCUGGGGAGUCAUUAGAUCUAUACCCUGCAUUGGAUCUAUGUAUGUUAAGGGCAGAACGCCAUGAAGUUUCAAAGGAGACUGUGAUUAUAAACAAAUGGGGAAAAUCGAGAAAGGCUUUAUGAGAGACUGGUGGAAUUUUGAUGGAGCAAGAGGAUGGAAGGGAUGCUACAUAUGGGAGUGAGCCCCGCGGAGAAGCCAGAGGAAAGAACCGCCCAGGCUGACGGCGAUACACACUGUGGACACUUCGGAUCUAUAAUGAGCUUGAAAUGCAGCAGAAUCCACACAGCCACAACACAGUGCUGAGCAUGUAUCAGGAUCCCAGGAAAUGGAGCUGAACUUGUCACAGUGGCUGCUGAUCCUUUCCUGUCACCUUGCCCAGGCAGAGGAACCCCUUGCUUCAUAUCAGGAGCACAUGUGACAUCAUUGGAGACAUUCACAGUCAUUCCAGAGUGUGAAUUGAUAUUUGGCAGACCAUUAUCCUCCUGCUGAGCUAGUGUCUAUUUACUUGCCUUCACUUUUGUGCUUGGUUUUGAUCUCUAUUUGACACAUUUCGUUCAUAUUUCAUAUGGACUUGAUGCUGGGUCAUUAGUCUUAAAAUUCAAAUUUUAGAAACUUUACCAAUUUUGAUAUAGUUGUGCUGCUAAAGUGCUUCAGUGCAGAGUACAGUAAGUAGAAACGUAGAGAAAACUUGGGAAUGUUAGGCUGAUUGAGAGCCUCUUCCUUAGAAGGAAACACCAGGAGUGGGUAUAAAACAUUUGCUUGUAAUACUAGACAUUAUUCAAUUAUUUUAUGAUUAUGAGUUAUAUUACAGCCAGCCUACUUGAUAAGCAAUUGACUUGACAGCAAAAGGAAAAAAGGAGAUGGCAAGUGAGAUUUUCAAAGCAGGAUACUUAAUUUUAAUAAACCUCCAAGGAGUAUCA
rnacentral:lncRNA from 12 species